CGAAACUUGCCCCGAGAUGAGUUCUCCCUGAGACUUUAAGUCUCCUGAAGGAACGUUAAAGACGAUGACGUUGAUAGGCCGGGUGUGUAAGCGCAGCGAUGCGUUGAGCUAACCGGUACUAAUGAACCGUGAGGCUUAACCUUACAACGCCGAAG
rnacentral:rRNA from 1 species